GUGCUCACUUUGGCACACACAUACUAAAUUUGGAAUGAUACAGAGGAGAUUAGCCUGGCUCCUGUAUAAGGAUGACAUGCAAAUUUGUGAAGCAUUCCAUAUUAUA